GAUGAACGCUAGCUACAGGCUUAACACAUGCAAGUCGAGGGGUAGCAGGGUAGCAAUACCGCUGACGACCGGCGCACGGGUGAGUAACACGUUUCCAACCUUCCCAUAACUCGGGGAUAGCCUUUCGAAAGAAAGAUUAAUACCCGAUAGUACUUAACAAAGGCAUCUUUGAUUAGUUAAAGAUUUAUUGGUUAUGGGUGGGGAUGCGUUCCAUUAGAUAGUUGGUGAGGUAACGGCUCACCAAGUCUUCGAUGGAUAGGGGUUCUGAGAGGAAGGUCCCCCACAUUGGUACUGAGACACGGACCAAACUCCUACGGGAGGCAGCAGUGAGGGAUAUUGGUCAAUGGGCGAGAGCCUGAACCAGCCAAGUAGCGUGAAGGAUGAAGGUCCUAUGGAUUGUAAACUUCUUUUAUAGUAGAAUAAAGUGAUCCACGUGUGGAUUUUUGUAUGUAUACUAUGAAUAAGGAUCGGCUAACUCCGUGCCAGCCGCCGCCGUAA
rnacentral:rRNA from 1 species